UGUGCACACGCUCAGUGCUUCCCGAGCGGGGGGGUGCUGUCCGUGGAGGCGGGUUCUCUGACAGCCUGCGGGGAGGAGCAGCAGCUUCCCUCUGCGUCUGGCUCUCCGCAACCUCAGCCACCGGCCACGAGGCUCCAGCUGGCCUCCGUCCUGGAUCCCUGUGGCCACAGGCCGUUAGGGGGCUCUUACACACUGUCUCGAGGGGACUGUGACUCAGAGAAAUCCUUUAAAACACCGCUUGGCUCCUGUUCUCAAAGGCGAACUGAUUUCACACAGGAGGAGCUAGGGUUUCAGGGGUCCAUUCUCUACUGACUUACAGUUUGACCUUGAACAAAAGCACCCUCUUCCAUUCUCAGUAUUUAUACCUGUUUUAUGAGCAUCUAUUUACUGGCUUUCGGGACCCACUGCCAUUUAACUGUCUGAAAACGUGGCUUCCCAAAGCUUCUAGAAAAUACAGGACCACACGAGGGCCCCACCUGUGCAUGUCCACAGCGGCCACGGCCACCCCGGAGCCUGGGCCGGCACCCCCAAUGCUCGCAGGGCAGGGCGUGUGCAGCCUCCAGCACGGCUGUCCUAUCUCUGAAGAGUCAUUGUCGGAGGACCUGGAGGGGAGGAAAUGUUGCAUAACUUCCGGGUUCUCGUUAUAAGUGACCUUGGGGGUGGCAGUGGUGUGUCCCCUCCAGUGUCCCUGGGCAGCUGUUGCGUAGCAGCUGUAUUGGGGUGACAGUCCUGGGCUGUCUUCGGGCACUGAGCAGCCUCGGUCACGUCUGGCUCCGUUGCAGACGCCUCACACCACCUCCUUGGCUGUGGGAGGGACUCUGAGAGCAUCCCCGAAUGUGGAGGUGGCGAGCGGGCCUUUUAGCCUCACGUCAAGUCACGUCUGAUGUAAGGAAACCCCAAUAUUCCCAGAUACGUUUAGGUCUAGGGGAUGUUGGAAGUGGAAAAAGAAAACAUGUAAGUAUAUAAAAUUACUUAAACCUGCUCUUAAUAACCCAGUUUCCAGCAACAUCCCCAAGGAGAGGGGGUCUGUGGGAGGCUGCAGGGGAUUCUGGGAGACGUCCGCCACAGUUAAGGGUGGCAUGUCUUCAUGCGCCUUCUUCUGUUACAGUGUUACGGAGCAUUAGUAACCAUAGUUUAAAAGCUAUUUUUCAAUAAUGAUGCUAUUUUAUAACAAUUCUUGUAUAUACAACCACAGUUGACCAGCAUCUUGUCUCACUGCCACAUUCAGAAACGGGUCCUUUACUGUAUGAACUCGGGGGAGUCAGCCUUUGAUAAAGUUCCGCAUCUCCUCCACGUCCUGUGCAGAGGGAGCUGCUACUCUCAAGGGAAACCAAGUAUCUGCCUUUUCAUGGGGACCUUGCAGGUGACCUUGCAGAUGACCUUGCUGGGAAACCCCUGGCCGAGGUGCUGGUCCUCCCGCCACCCUCCCGCCUCUCCAGCCCCUUCCUGAAGGCACAUGCUUAGCGCCUAUAUUUAGCGUCGCGGUCCCUGGCCCAAAGGAAUGCCGGUGGCUCAUCUCGGAAAUAUGCGGUCCUGUCCUUUGAGUCACAGGCCUCAUCCUCCAGCUUCCCUGUCCUGUCACCUGGGUUCUUUGUCACUUCUCGGACUUUCCUUUUCCUGCUCCCCUCGCCCUUCACAUUGCCAGGGGAGUCUAGGCCAAGCCCCCUCUAUCCGUGGCCUUGCCCAGUGAGGGACCCUGGGGGGGGGGGGGGGGGGGGGGGCGACCAGGUCUCAGAGCUCCACCUGCUGAGGUGCUCCCAGGGGCCGCGUGCCCUCCUCUUGGCAUCGUGGAGAGCAGAUCGUAGCGGUCUGCAUCUUUGAUAGGCAGUAGCUGUUCUUUAGGCUGCAGGCAGAACAAAUGUAUAGAGGAAAACCCUGGCCAUUUUGGGUCUUCAGCUGAACGUCUCUAAGCCUCUCUUUGACAUGUGAAGAGGGAACACUGUAGUUUUCAGCAAAUGAACCUACUGAGUGUGGCAGAGUUGGCCCAGUGCUCACAGACGGAAGACGAAUUGAGGCCAUUUUUGACGAAUUGGAGGCUCUAGCAGCAGCCUGGCCGGACCGGGCGUGGCCCGCCCUGUGCACUCGGAACCCUGUGACCGUGGCCAGGAGAAGCAGCUGUGUAGAGCAUGCGGCCCUGCGUGUCUCUGACGUUGGAUAAGCCAGCAGGCUAAACAUGAGUCUCAGGACUAGGUUACAAAAUGAAACGCAGGUCAAGGGAACAUGCAUACCACGGCCAGUUCCCUGGGCGGUGGUGGCCAUUGGCCAGUGGCAGUCCUGAGCUCCUUGCGAAGUGCUGUUGCUGUAAGAUAUCGGAACAGACCUGCCCACUCGACCUGGGAGGUCCGGGCGAGAGCCUGGGCGGAGAUGUUAGGUUGAGACAUAUUACUAUUGCUAUUCUCGUGGGUCAGAGUGGCUGCUGGUGGCAGUUUCAUGUUGCCCAACCUACACCCGCAUGCGGGGCGGAGCCAUUCCACCUGAGUGCACAGCAGCGCUGACCUGACGGGGAAGGUGGCCUCUGGAAUUGGACACAACCGCGCGCACUGCUUCACCUCACUAAGCCUCAGUUUUCUCAUCUGCAAAAUGGGAAUGCUAUCCUGGGAGGAUUAAAUAAGCAUAGGUAAGGCAAACGAGUGGCAAGAAAAGGUGGCUAUCAACAGCCACGUUCUGUAACCCCUGGAUACCGAAUUCAUUUUUGCAGGCUGAGCUGUGGCUGAUACAACAGAGGCGCUUUAUGCACUCACGUUUUCCUGAGGCGAGGCAAAUACCCGGGCUGUGCUUGUCCUUCAGCUCGGCCCGGACGGGAAGGCACAGUUAACGUAAAACGCUGGGAUUGGCCUCUGUUUAUAUUUCCCGCUGGAAAAGCCAUACUUCCACUGGGAGCAAACACAUUAGGAGCUGCACAGCCUGCAGAGCCGCCCUGUGAAAUCACAUGCGCUUGUACGAUAGAGCCUCUGGAGGCCGUGCCCUCUCUCUGCUCACCUGAGGGUGGGUGCGCGGGCCCGGCAAUGCCUGCUGGGCCUCUGCCCAGCGAGCACGGCAUUGAUCUUGGACGGAAGAGGCCCGUCCACCGAGGGCUGUUGAACGCCCAGAUGGGCUGCAGAGAAAGUCCAGCAACUCGUCUCUCUAGGACUUUUCAAAGGAAGCAGAUUCCGGCUGCCUGGAGAGGGCUGCAGGUGGAGUGUUUUCCUCGUUUCUAUGUAAAGCUGACAUCACAGUAAAAACCAGGCAUUAAAACUUGCACA